rnacentral:rRNA from 1 species
CAAUAGCGUAUAUUAAAGUUGUUGCAGUUAAAAAGCUCGUAGUCGGACCUCUGGCAGCGCGUGGACGGUCCGCCGCAAGGUGUGCACUGUGCGGCGCUGCCAUCCUCUCGAGGACCCUUGGUGCUCUUCACUGAGUGCUCUGGGGACUCGGGACCUUUACUUUGAAAAAAUUAGAGUGCUCAAAGCAGGCCUUCGCUUGAAUACAUUAGCAUGGAAUAAUAGAAUAGGACUUUGGUUCUAUUUUGUUGGUUUCUAGGACCGAAGUAAUGAUUAAUAGGGAUAGUUGGGGGCAUUAGUAUUUAAUUGUCAGAGGUGAAAUUCUUGGAUUUAUGAAAGACUAACAUCUGCGAAAGCAUUUGCCAAGGAUGUUUUCAUUGA